rnacentral:rRNA from 1 species
AUGGCGCCGCGGACGCGCUAUCCCGCGCCGGCCAUCUUCUCGCACUCGACGCUCUCGUUCGCCAUCGAGACCGACACAUGUGACACCGGCGUGGGCGCGGUGCUCACGCAGGGCGGCCACCCCAUCGCGUACCUCAGCAAGGCCAUGGGCGUCAAGAAUCAGAAGUUGUCGACAUACGAGAAGGUGUUCUUGGCAGUGAUGAUGGCGAUCGACAAGUGGCGGCCAUAUCUUCAACGUGCCCCGUUCAAGAUCGUCACCGAACAGAAGAGUCCGUGCGCGCUUACGGAUCAGCAACUCACUACGGACCUCCAGUGCAAGGCCAUGUCCAAGUUGGUCGGCUUGCAGUUCUCCUUCUGCUACAAGAAAGGCGUCGAUAAUGGUGCCACAGACGCGCUAUCCCGCUUCGGCCAUCUUCUCGCACUCGACGCUCUCUCACUGUGCCAGCCACAAUGGCUGCAAGAAGUGGCUAACUCCUACGAAACUGACCCCGACUCACAAGAGUUGCUAACAAAGCAGGCAGUCACCGCCAUCGAUGACCAGGGGCGCACAUUACAGAAUGACGUCAUCAGGCAACACGGACGGCUCUGGAUUGGCGCCAACUCCGCAUUACAGACCAAGCUCAUCGCUGCCCUCCAUCACAGUGAAGUGGGUGGGCACUCUGGCGCCACGGCAACCUACCACCACAUACCAAGCUUCAACCACUUCUUAUUCCCAAGGAACCAUGGCUCCGAUGCGAUCAUGGUCGUCAUCGACAGGCUGACCAAGUACGCACACUUUGUUCCGCUUCACCACCCCUUCACCGCCGCCCAAGUUGCUCGCGCCUUCAGGGAACAUGUCAUCAAGCUUCACGGCAUCCCCCGUUCGAUCGUCUCCGACCGCGACAAGAUCUUCACCAGCGCCAUGUGGCGCGAAUUGCUCGCCGCCGCGGGAACCAAGCUACUCUACUCCAGCGCGUACCACCCCCAGACGGAUGGCCAGACGGAGCGGUUCAACCAGUGUCCGGAGAUGUACCUGUGGUGUGCGAUACAUGACACACCAUGA